rnacentral:lncRNA from 1 species
GGCAGGCUUUGAGGGGAUGCAGAAGCAAAACCAGUGGAAAAGCAGUUGUGUGGAGAGAAAACGGAGACAGAGAAAAAGAAGACUGAUUUAAAUUAUCUGGGCCACCAUGUGCACUCUUGCAGGUAAGAGACGAGGCACACGUGCAUUUUCUGGUCUUGAGCUCUGUCCAGUCCCUGAUGGUGAUACUAUAAUAGAAAAGAUAUGCAAGGUCAUUUUUGACCAUACUCAAAAUUUUCCUCUAUACACUGGCUUUUAGAAUGAACUCCUUUGAAAACAAAGGCUUAGAGGGGGCUAAAUGUCUUCUAUAGCAGAGUCACACACCUGGAGGAGCAGAGGCAACCACUAUGGGGACCCAGAGGCUUUGAUCCUAACCUGUCUCCUAAAUUUAACACCUCACUAGGUUUUACUUCUUCAAUACAGGUUCAUGCUAUGAGCACUUUACUGCAUCAUUUAUUAUUGUCUGUUAUAUAAAUUUCUUCCAAAGAGCGCAGAGCUCAGUGAACAUCAGGAGAAAUGCUGAAGAUCGCAGUAAAGUUCCUUUCAUGGGAAGCCUUUUAAAUUAUAACUUUAGCCAGACUGACUUAGAUAGGUUGGAUGCUCUGUUUGGAGACAGGGACAGAAAUCUGAAAGUUUAUCCCAAACCCAGGAUUCUGUGAUCAUCUCACUGUUUCCCAAACUUUCGUUUUUUCUUUCUUUUUUUUUUUUUUUUCAGAUGGAGUUUUGCUCUGUCACCCAGGCUGGAGUGCAAUGGCAUAAUCUUUACUCAGUGCAACCUCUGCCUCCUACAUUCAAGCAAUUCUCCUGCCUCAGCCUCCCAAACAGCUGGAAUUACAGGUGUGCACCACCACGCCUGGCUAAUUUUUGUAUUCUUAGUAGAGACGGGGUUUCACCAUGUUGGCCAGGCUGGUCUCAAACUCCUGACCUCAAGUGAUCCACCCGUCUCGGCCACCCCAAGUGCUGGGAUUACAGGCCUGAGCCACCUCGCCUGGCCUCCCAAACUUGCUUGAUCACGGAAAACACUCACUAAAAAACAAAAACAAAAGAUAACCACACAAUGAAACAAGAAAACAUAGUCCCUGGCACAUAGUAGGCGCAUGAUAUUUUUUGAAUGAUCGAGGUAAAAUUGCGAAAUUGCCAAUCGAAGAACAAAAUGUAAAGUCUGAUUUGUUGCUAACAGCUUCCCAAAACUACGUUUCUGUCUUUCCAUGUGCUUAUACACACGCACAUCCUCAUGCUUUUUAAUAUGUAAGUUUGUAAAAUCAUAGGUAAAAACUUUUGUUUGUUUUUGUUGUUUGAGAUGGACUCUCGCUCUGCCACCCAGGCUAGAGUGCAGUGGUGCGAUCUCAGCUCACUGUAACCUCCGCUUCCCGGGCUCAAGCAAUUCUGCUGCCUCAGCCUCCUGAGUAGCUAGGGUUACAGGCGUGUGCCAACAUGCCCAGCUAAUUUUUGUAUUUUUAGUAGAGACAAGGUUUCACCACGUUGGCCAGGCUAGUCUCGAACUCCUGACCUCGUGAUCUGGCCACCUCAGCCUCCUAAAGCGCUGGGAUUACAGGCGUGAGCCACCGCACCUGGCCCAUAGGUAAAAUCUUAAAAGUGUUUGACAAACUGUUUAAAGUGUCUUUCUUUGGGGAGAGAAAAUAUUUCCUCCUAUUGUGCUUAAAUUUUAAUAAUUUAGUUACAGAAAUGCAAUAGAUUUAAUUUUAAUAAUUGUUAAUAAUUUGAUAAUUAUAAUGAUGUGAUACAUUUAAUCAUUUUAAUAGCUUGAAAAAAUAAGCGUGGCAAGUAAGAGCGAUGAUCUCUUUUUUAUAACUAUUUACCACUGAUUUUCUUUUUCAAAACAAAUUUGAGAAAUAGUCACGCAAUGCCUGUCUGAUACAAGGCUCAGUGCUACGUCUGCUCAGGACUCAGUCCUCAAGCCCACGUCUGCCCUGGAGCACUUAUGUUUUGACCAAGGACAUAUGCUAUUCCUGUGUGACAUCUUGACAAUAUGAGAUGGACAUUACAGCUCAGGAUGACAACAAAAACCCUGAUUGUUUGAGUCUGCAGAUAUGGAACCCAUGGAUCUGGAGGGCCGACUGUACUAUGUGCUUUUUACAAGCAAAAUGUUAUUGAGGCCAGGCCUGCUACCAUGCUCAUAAUACCAGCAUUUUGAGAGGCCAAGGCCAGAGGAUAGCUUGAGUGCAGGAGAUUGAGACCAGCCUGGGCAACAUAGUGAGACCCUGUCUCUACAAUGACAACAACAUCAACAACAACAACAACAAGUUUUAUUGAAUCUUCACAGCUACCCCCUUAGGCAGGUAUUAUUAGUACUACUUUUCCUAUUUUACAGAUGAAUAAAUUGUAACUAAGAGAAGUGAACUGAUUUCUCCAAGGCUACAGAACUAGGAGGUGGUAGAGCUGGGAUAUGAGGUUUUAGUUUUGUUUUGUUUGUGAGAUGGGGUGUCACUCUGUUGCACAGGGUGGAGUACAGUCAUGUGAUCAUGGCUCAAGUGAUCCUCCUACCUCAGCCUCCCAAGCUGGGACUACAGGUGUGCACCAUCACACAUGGCUAAUUGUUGUAUUUUUUUUGUUUUUUUUUUGUAGAGACAAGGUCUGUUUGUGUUGCCCAGGCUGUUCUUGAACUCCAGGCUCAAGCAAUCCACCAGUAUUGGCCUCGCUAAGUAUUAGGAUUACAGGCAUUAGCCACUAUGCUCAGUCUGCCUUUUUUUUUUUUUUUUUUUUGAGACGGAGUCUCGCUCUGUCGCCCAGGCUGGAGUGCAGCGGCGUGAUCUCGGCUCACUGCAACCUCUGCCUCCCAGGUUCUAGCGAUUCUCCUGCCUCAACCUCCUGAGUGGCUGGGACUACUGGUGCGUGCUACCACGCCCAGCUAAUUUUUGUAUUUUUAGUAGAGACGGGGUUUCAUUAUGUUUGCCAGGAUGGUCUCAAUCUCUUGACCUCAUGAUCCGCCUGCCUUGGCCUCCCAAAGUGUUGGGAUUACUGGCGUGUGCCACCGCACCUGGCCGAGACUGGGUCUUAAAAAAAAAAAAAGAAAGAAAGUAAUGUUACUUUUAUGAAAAAAAAAAAAAUUUCCAAAACAAAAAAUUUAGUGAAAAGAGUAACAUUUUUUGCUUCUUUUUUCUUGCUAAUCCCUCUAAUGCCUUGCUUUAUACAAGACGGCCAGAUACACACAGCAGCUUCUACAUUUACUUUGUUGUGAUAUCAUAUGUCAUGCAGCCUCUGGAAAAUCCCACU